UACGGAGGGUGCAAACGUUGCUCGGAAUCAUUGGGCGUAAAGCGCACGUAGGUGGCCCGUUAAGUCGGGUGUGAAAUCCCUGGGCUCAACCCAGGAAGUGCACUCGAAACUGGCAGGCUUGAGUACUGAAGAGGGUCGCGGAAUUCCCGGUGUAGAGGUGAAAUUCGUAGAUAUCGGGAGGAACACCAGUGGCGAAGGCGGCGACCUGGGCAGAUACUGACACUGAGGUGCGAAAGCGUGGGGAGCGAACAGG
rnacentral:rRNA from 1 species